GUUUUAAUAAUUUAAAUAAAAUACUGGUCUUGUAAACCAACAUUAAGCUUAGUCUUUUAAAACA
rnacentral:tRNA from 1 species